rnacentral:lncRNA from 1 species
UUUUCUUUUAAGAAAUUAUGAUGUGAAUUUUCUUUUAAAGUAAUCCCAAUAGAGUAUAUGUAUAUGUUCCUUUUUGGAGCGAAAUCCAAAUGCAAAAAGUAUACUAAUUUUGAAAGUUAAAACCUGGAACACUUAAUCUUCUUCAAAGCAAACGAAAACAGUCAAUUGACAACUUAAUUAUCAAAACAUAGCAAUUCAGGGGAUUAAUAAGUAUAU